GGUCAUGUGACAAUGUCUCUGGGAGGACCAGCAGUAUUGACAGAUUUUGGCUGGGUAGAAGUAAACUCAACGUAGACGAUGAAGUUCGACGAUAUUUUCAAGGAAAUAGGCGAGUUUGGUCCGUACCAGAGGCGGAACUACCUGCUCCUGGUAGUGGGCUGGGUCCUGACUGGUCCAAUAAUGGUCCUCUCCGUGUUCGUGAUGGGAUCUCCGGAUCACAGAUGUCAGAUCCCCGGUCUGUAUAACGAUUCGUAUGUAGUUCAAGGAAAACAGCACACGGAUCUCAUUCACAAAUAUAUUCCUCUGGACAGUGAUGGGGAAUAUGACAAAUGCUACCUGUAUAACAUCGACCGAUCAAAAACAGUGUUUGACAACGAAAGCCGACCAAUCAAUGCAUCUAAAAUAAAAUGUUUUGCUUGGGUUUAUGACAAAACUUUAUUUCAAGAUACAUUUGUGACGAAGGAAAAUCUAGUGUGUGACAACAAAUACAGAAUCUCACUGUCCAAGACCAUCUACUUUGCGGGUGUAUUGACCGGUUCCUUUCUCUUUGGAAUGGUUUCUGAUUUGAUUGGACGUAAGAAGACUCUGUUCAUUGGUAUUGUCUUUGAGCUGGCAUCCACACUGGCCUUGGCGUGGUCGUACAAUUACCUGACGUACGUCAUAUUACGGUUCUGUACCGGGGCGGCCUGUGUUGGAGUCUUCAUGACAACUUACGUGCUUGCCAUGGAAUGGGUCGGUCCGUCGACAAGGACUUACGCAGGCCUGAUCAUAGCUUUCUUUGGACCCGUGGGAGAACUCUACUUGGAGCUUAUCGCUUACCUGACUAGGGAAUGGUUUUGGAUUGUAAUCGGAGUAGCGGUUCCAUUUGUGCUGGUUUUUAUUUUAUAUUGUUUUCUUCCCGAAUCUCCUCGUUGGCUAUAUAGUACAGGCAAAAAGGAAGAAGCGAGCAAACUUUUAGAGAAAGCUGCAAAAUACAACGGAAAAGAUAUUUCUUCAAAGCUUUUCGAUGAUAUAGAUAUAGGGAAAAAAGAGGCCGGGAAAAUAUGGCUGCUGUUUUCCGAUCGUCGCCUAGGAGUCAGAACUGUCAUCAUUUUUUAUAAUUGGUAAAAUCGUAUUAAUUUGUAUCAUUAUAUUUGUUUUCUUAUUAUUAGAUACGGUUAUUUUGACAGUUGUUUUGAAUUAUAUAGUAAGUUUUAUUUAUUCCUUUCGUAUUUGACAAUGAUUUUUUCCCGAAAUGAUAUAGAUGUAAUAUUUUCGUUUGAUUAAAACUCAACAAACCCAACUUGCCCAAAAUAUACAACUGCUAUUAUUUAAGAUUUCAAAGAGUGAAAUUUAUUCACAAAACUGUAUUAAUAACUUUGGUUUUACGCGGAGUUUUCAAUAUAUCAGGAUGGUGGCCAGUAUGGUAUUUUACGGUCUCUCCCUCAACACGGGGAUUUUGUACGGGGACUACUACAUCAACUUUCUGAUCAUUGUGCUGGUGGAGUUCCCUGGACACAUUCUUCCUCUUUUUAUGAUUGACAGAAUCGGCAGAAAAAGAAGCCAUUUUAUUUACAUGGGAGUGGGCGGCAUAGCUUGCCUCAGUACAAUAUUUACAGUUAAUUUUGGCGGAGAGGACCUGCAGUAUAUAACUACAGCUUUAGCCAUGCUGGGGAAACUGUUUGCUACUGCGGCCUUUGCCACUAUCUAUGUGCUGUCUGCCGAGCUGUUCCCUACUGCUAUCAGAAACAUUGGGAUGGGCUCCAGCUCCUGCUGGGCUCGCGUGGGUGGAAUGAUCUCUCCCUUCAUUGCUGACACGGCUGAUUUGGUGGGAGGAACAUCAGGGACAGCUAUACCUCUGUCCAUAUUUGGAGGAGCUUGUCUCCUUGCCGCCGGGCUAACACUGAUUCUUCCUGAAACGCUUCACCAGAUGCUACCAGAAACAAUUGAGGAUGGAAAGAAUUUCACAACGAAAGAGUAUAAAGAGAAAUCUAAGAAGUAUCUUCAAGGAACCCAGGAAAUUAUUGUCACUCAGUUUUGAUAGAAAACCGAAAAAAAUAAAAAAUAAAAAAAUCGGUGCUCGUAAUUGUAAACCAACUUAUAUUCGCGUGUGAGAGACUUGUUGUCGCCAAUAUUUCUUCGUAUUAUACAAAUACGGGUCUAUAUAAGACUUGGUCACGAAAAUUAGUAGUUGCGAAUCAGAUUAUCUCUAGUAAAUCGUUGUGAAUAAAAUUUGGUAUAAAGUAUUGGAAAUAAAAUAGAAAAUAUUAAAUUUUACUUUCCGAUAAAUGUUUUUUCUUAUUUUUGUCAUCAACCUCCUCCUCUCUUUAUUCCUUGGUCAUAUGUGAUGCACUAUAAUGUUUGUAUGUACAUGCCAUGUUUAUCUAUAAUACAACUAUCACCGUUUAUUCUCUUUAUUGUGCGUGGUUUAUACAUGAAAUGUCAAAAUGAUGUAUUUCAUCUUUGGACCCUAUUAUGAAGCUGAAGUGCAAACAUAAAACUUUUCACGAUAUUAGAAGAAACAAAUAUUAUUUUUAUUAUGUAAAUUUUCUGUAUUUUCUGUAUAACCAAAUAAACUGACA
rnacentral:misc_RNA from 1 species